GGAAUCACGGAGGGGGAUCAGGAUUGGUCUUUUGAAGGUGGAUUUGUAAGUAAUUAUUUUUAUAGUAUUAAUAAAUGAAGGGUGGAAUAACAUGUGUACAUAUUGCCCGUCGCUCUCGUUAUUUUUGAGAUAAGUCGUAACAUAGUUGAUGAACUGGAAAGUGUAUCUUUUUGA
rnacentral:rRNA from 1 species